AUUGUAAUGUGAAGAUCAACACUUUGAAGUUAAAUUCUCUGUAACUUGAAAGCUUCACCCACAGAAAACUCCAACAAACCAAACAUAAAGCUGACGGACAAGAGAGCAUAUCAGUCUACAACCUAUGAUGAAGGAACACCAUACACUGCUGACAGAACCUUUUAUUAAUCAACUUGUUCUCACACCAACCAGCAGAUUGACCCCUGGUGGUCUGUAGACCUGCAGGGUGUUUACAACUUUUCCUGUAUCUCUAUCUACAAUUUUCAUCAGAAUAGUGGUGUGACUGACAUAUCAGGUGCCAAGAUCUACAUCGGGAACUCUCGUCAGAACAACGGCACCAACAACAAGCUGGUUCAAAACAUUUCAGCCUUCAAGACGGGCAAGAUCAAUGUCUACGAGUUUCCCACUUCAGUGUCGGGAUGAUACGUCACUGUGAUCAGACCAGAAAAUACAUUUAUGGUUCUCUGUGAAGUGAAAAUCACUGGAACAAAAAUUGCUUCACCUUUUCUACUGAUUGACCAAAACAAGACCUGGGAAGAAGCUCUGAACUACUGCAGAGAUAACCACGGAGAUCUGGCCUCCAUCUUGGAUGAACAGAUGCAGACUUUUGCUGAGCUGGAGGCUGAGAAAGCCAACAGUCCCUUCAUGUGGAUCGGACUUCGCUUCAACUGCAGCCUGAAGUUCUGGUUCUGGGCAGAUUAUUGUAAUGUUCAAUAUAAUGAGUGUGACGUUGGUGGAGCCAUGCAGACAGGAGGGCAGCAUCGCUGGUUCAACAAG